CGCGCGCCGGCGAACCCACGCACGCGCGCCGACGAACCCACGCACGCGCGCCGCGAACGCACGCACGCGCGCCGCGAACGCACGCACGCGCGCUGGCGAACCCACGUCCUCCAUCCUGUUGGGCACAGAGUAGGUGCUUCGCAAUUCUUUAGUUUCAACGGAAUGUCUUUCCUGCAGCGUCGGCGCAGAUGAAUGCUUGUGACUUUUGGGAAGGAUGUCCCCCUGAAGGACGAUCCAGAGAAGCAGCUGCUUCUCUACAUUUAGGAUGAAGAGGAAGAUUUCCUUCACUGGCUGAGGCAGUAGCGCUUCUGCUGAUGGCUGCAGAGAUGACCUCAAGUCUCCAAACUGGUCUGGACAUCGCUGGCCAAAGGAACCUGAGAAAUGGACUCUUUAUACCAAGAAAUCAGCAGGCUAGGAAAGAAGUCACCUGGAAGGUAAUUGAUCCUAGUAAUCAGGUAUAAGUGAGUCUCCUACUGGGACAAGAAGCCCUACAUGGAAGCAAGGAAGAAUACAUUGACAAUGGAGUGAUCCACUGGAGCAUAUCUCGGUACUACCCUGCAUGAUUUUUAUGGUAAAUGGAUAAGUGCAACAGUCACGGUAUGAAAGGGCACAGUGACAAGGGGCUCAGACCAUUCAUGAAUGAGUCUGGGAUGCCUCAGUAAACAAAGUGAUGUA